ACCUGAGGGAUAGCUCAUUUGGUAGAACAUGAGAAUCUUAAUCUCAGGGCUGUGGCUUUGAGCUCCAUCUUGGGUG